CCUACGGGAGGCAGCAGUGGGGGAUAUUGCACAAUGGGGGAAACCCUGAUGCAGCGACGCCGCGUGGGUGAAGAAGUAUUUCGGUAUGUAAAGCCCUAUCAGCAGGGAAGAAAGAAGACGGUACCUGACUAAGAAGCCCCGGCUAACUACGUGCCAGCAGCCGCGGUAAUACGUAGGGGGCGAGCGUUAUCCGGAUUCACUGGGUGUAAAGGGAGCGUAGACGGCCGUGCAAGCCAGGAGUGAAAGCCCGGGGCCCAACCCCGGGACUGCUCUUGGAACUGUGCGGCUGGAGUGCGGGGGGGGCAGGCGGAAUUCCUGGUGUAGCGGUGAAAUGCGUAGAUAUCAGGAGGAACACCGGCGGCGAAGGCGGCCUGCUGGACCGCGACUGACGUUGAGGCUCGAAAGCGUGGGGAGCGAAUAGGAUUAGAUACCCCAGUAGUC
rnacentral:rRNA from 1 species